AUUCCAAAUGCACCCCUCACUGUUGGCACAAAACGGAGAACAAUUAAAAGAGUGGACCAAUCACAUAUACAAGAGCCACCAGAUAAACAUUCACCAUUGCACGAAGUUGAUGAAAGUGGGCCUAGUACAGAAAGCCAAACUUCAGAUUUUUCUUGCCAAACAAGUGCUAUACUAUCCAAUAAUACACCUAGAAAACAAAAACAACGAAAGUUAAUAAAAGCCCAGGCAAGGAAAAUAAGUCGUUUUACGCAUGCAAACAAAAAUCCAUCAACACAUAAAAAUUUGGAAAAA